GAUGAACGCUGGCGGCGUGCCUAAUACAUGCAAGUCGAGCGAACAGACGAGGAGCUUGCUCUUCUGACGUUAGCGGCGGACGGGUGAGUAACACGUGGAUAACCUACCUAUAAGACUGGUAUAACUUCGGGAAACCGGAGCUAAUACCGGAUAAUAUAUUGAACCGCAUGGUUCAAUAGUGAAAGACGGUUUUGCUGUCACUUAUAGAUGGAUCCGCGCCGCAUUAGCUAGUUGGUAAGGUAACGGCUUACCAAGGCGACGAUGCGUAGCCGACCUGAGAGGGUGAUAGGCCACCCUGGAACGGAACCGCGCUCCAGACUCCUGCGGGAGGCAGCAGUAGGGAAUCUUCCGCAGUGGGCGAAAGCUUGGCGGAGCAAGGCCACGUGAGUGAUGACGGUGUUCGGAUCGUAAAACUCUGUUAUUAGGGAAGAACAACUGUGUAAGUAACUAUGCACGUCUUGACGGUACCUAAUCAGAAAGCCACGGCUAACUACGUG
rnacentral:rRNA from 1 species